UAUAUGGGUAGGUUCUACGAGAAUGAUCGGUUUUUUAUUUUAACUGUCAUAGGCGGCCGUUCUUCCAAAACGUAGAGCAUAUUAUAUGUUAAUAUAUUUAUUUAGCCCGCUUAUUGUACUAAAAUAUACUAUAGUACUAAAAUACGAUCCUCCGAAUCGAUCAAAGAACGAAGGAGAAAAUAAUAGAAUUGAAACUUAACACGUUCACUGUCCCAAUCUGACAUGUAAACCUUAUGGCUUUGUAAUAGAGGCUAGCCGUGGCCCCACGUGUGGAGCACGGGCAGUAAAGCAAACGCCUUAGUAACAAGACCACAACGUGCCUUGACAAUAGGC